GGUUACUCGUCGGGGACAUAUUUUGUCUUGAAAAUAAAAUAAAAGUGUUCGAGUCACUUAGUAACUU
rnacentral:tRNA from 1 species